rnacentral:lncRNA from 1 species
UAAAGCACGAAUUCUCAGACGUGGUCAGCUUUCUUUGUUCAAGCAAGUAGUCAGGGACGACGUGUGGACAGGCUAAGAAAACCGAAAUCUGCAGGAAUCCCAGUCUUAAUUCUAUGAGUGGUCUUUUUUUUUUUUUUUUGUGUGUGUGUGUCUGUGUGUCUGUGUGUCUGUAUCUAGAGCAUCUCAGGUGAAAUCAGCAGGCAUAUGCUCAUCCAUAACAGGCCCAGUGAGAGAGGAGUAAAAUGAUGCUGAUACCUACUGACAGAGGGCAGCUUUCCUAGACAAGUUAGAGCUAAUGGAGGGAGAAAGGCUAUAGUUAAGCUCUUGUAGGGGAUGAUUGAGUGCAGGAUCUUAUCAUUCCCAACCAACUGAAGAGGAAACAUAGGAAGACUAACCUAUCUCCCAAGGCUAAAGUUAGCAUUUGGGUGUGCUCCCUCAGGUGCCAUUAAAUUCCCAUUAAAAAUCACUUCAUUGGGAGCAGGAUUUCAUUAUCUCUUCUUUAAUAACCUAAAGCCAAUGCCUUUUGUUUCAGUUUCUUGAGUUCAGCUUGCAACAUUUCUUCAAAAUCCAUUUUGUUCAAUAGUCAGAAAACUAUAGGAUGCCUAGGUACCUAGAUUUUAGUGUAUCCUCUGGUACCACAAGGAAUUUUCAUGCAGAUGCAUAGUGGAAAGAUGGAAAUGGCAAAAUAGUUAUAAUAUCAUCUAAAAAGAAAAAGCAAGAAGUUAAAGUCGACUGACAGUUUUGUUACAUCUGUGGUAAGGGACUGACAAUUCUGUUCCUUGUGAUGAGGUGCAUUUCCUUCAAGCUGUGCUUCAAGAACAUGUGACUGGAAAGAUGGUGAAAUGGCUGGAGACUUAACUGGUGAAGUUUCUCCUUGUAGUCAUCUCUGGCAUCAUUCUGGUUUUGCCCUCCAUACUCACAUGGCACCUGAGACAAGUGUAUGGAUCUGCACUGACUGCUGGGGAAGCACUGGUGUGCAGCUGUGGCUGUAUCCUCCCUGCUCCGCAUAGAGCUUUGCCUGACUCCAAACGUGGGGACCUUGUGUGACUGGAGGGAAGAGGCAAGGUGCUGGCCCCAGAGCCAGGCUGAGAAAUCAGCAGGUGCUGAACUGGGUUUCCCUGCCUGUGUCAGGCAGUUCAGCUGUCCACAGCUCUGUGCACUGCUUUUCACUUUGAAGACAGUUCUUCAGAAACCCUGAAGACUGAAACAUUCAGGGCAUCCCAAGUACCUCUCUGCUUUUGUGUGGAUUCCCAGCCUUGGACUACUGAGAGUGGCAAUGAUUCAUUUUUUAAAUAUGGAAAUCACAAUUACUGUCAAAAUGUAGGAAGUGUCAUUGAAUUUUCUCUGGAAGACUUUCCCUGGUGAAAAACCAGGAUUGAAGCUAAUAGUGCUAAUGGCUCUUAAACAGCUCUUGAUCCUUUUGAAUUAAUUACCAGGGGUGAAAGUUGCUGAGUUACUCGUGAGUCCAUAGAAGUUGACAACUAUUCUCUUGAAAGCAUAAAGGAUGAAUAUCAUUUUGGUACAGUGAGAUGUUAAUGUUUUCUUUCACAGUUGAUGGGGACCUAAAAUGAGGAAACAAGCAAUGUCCCUGUUGACUACAGAUUAUAAAAAUUCAAUGCAGAAUCUGGUAUCUCCAGCUGUAACCCAAGGUGGAUAAUAUUUUGAAAUAAAAUUUACCACUGUGUUUUUACA